UUAAAGUCUACCGGUCUAACUCUCUAUCCUGCCUUCUAUGCGCCAUUCAUAGUGGCAAUAGUGGUAGGUAUAUAAUUUGUCCACAUCUAGGCUAACUAUCAAUAUAAAGGGAGUGGCUCCUAAUGCGUGACCGGAUCUUUUAUUUCUGAGGCUCGUAAAUAUAGCAUCAAAAUGCUGAAAAUCUGAUUUCCCCGAGCUGAUCACUGUCUGCAGUUGGCUCUGAUCGUAGUGUAACGAAACAGGCAGAGAGAGUGAGCUCGUCCGUCCGUAGACCUGCGUAGCAUCGACUGUGCCAAAAAAAUCUAUAUCCACAUUUUUAAAUAGAGUUAUUGUUAUUUGUGGUCGUAAUCAUUAUUUUUUAGUUAAUAACAUUUUUUACAAGGGGAGAGUUAUGUGAGAAUAUAUUUAACAUUGGGUGGGGUGUGUAUAUUUUUUAAUGACAGAUCAAGUUGUACAACCACCAAUGACUCUCUGUUCCAUUACAUUACACAGUCAUUGUCUGCUGUACAGGGGAGUUUUGUGAAGAGCCAAUCUGAACAUGAACAAGUCUCGCUUUUGUUACGGUUUAGGAAGCACAAGGACCUUAUAUUUCAUAUCAAUGAGAAAUGAUUUUCUAAAAACAAAAGGUUAAAUUGAUACACACCUUGAUAGGGUUAAGGUUAGUGUUCCCACAUGGCCAUAUCUACAUGUUACAGCACUUGUUUACGGAAGACAGAGGUGACCACCUUUGCUAAUUAGCUAUCUAGCAUGCUCCAAACACCUUUGUGUAAGCGUAACUUGGGAAGUGUAGUGGAAGUGUAGUUUCGUUGGAUGGAGGAACCAAUAGCUGUAUGGAUCUGCGCAAAAUCCCCUACACUUGUAGCAGCACAACCAAGGGGGAGGAGAAUGGGCCUGCCAAUAAAACAAAAUAGCCUUCCAAGUGGAAAGUAGAGGUUUGGAAGAGAAGGAUGCCGGGUAAAUCCUACUUUGGCAGGGAAAAGAUAAUUGAGUUGACUAUGACUAUUCAUAUCUGCAUUGUUUGAUUAUUUAUUACAUACAUGAUUCUUACUAGAAAACUUUUAUUCCAUGCUGAAAUGUCUGAUUUGCAUACUAGUAACAUGAUUAAUAGUGAAAUUUCGAUAUGAAUGGUUUUACUGUUGUACCAUUUACCUGAUACUACUUGAUAUUUCAAUCUGAGUAAAAAAUUCAACAUCACACUUUGUGUAAAUAGUUUUAGGACGCAUUCACAAUCACAUUUACCUGAAAUUAUAUUGUGAAAUAAAUGUUAAUUCAUG
ensembl:lncRNA